GCAGUUCUGUCAAGUCAGAUGUAAAAUCCCCAGGGCUUAACCUGGGAACUGCAUUUGAAACUGGCAGGCUAGAGUCUUGUAGAGGGGGGUAGAAUUCCAGGUGUAGCGGUGAAAUGCGUAGAGAUCUGGAGGAAUACCGGUGGCGAAGGCGGCCCCCUGGACAAAGACUGACGCUCAGGUGCGAAAGCGUGGGGAGCAAACAGGAUCAGAUACCCUGGUAGUCCACGCCGUAAACGAUGUCGACUUGGAGGUUGUGCCCUUGAGGCGUGGCUUCCGGAGCUAACGCGUUAAGUCGACCGCCUGGGGAGUACGGCCGCAAGGUUAAAACUCAAAUGAAUUGACGGGGGCCCGCACAAGCGGUGGAGCAUGUGGUUUAAUUCGAUGCAACGCGAAGAACCUUACCUGGCCUUGACAUCCACGGAAUUCGGCAGAGAUGCCUUAGUGCCUUCGGGAACCGUGAGACAGGUGCUGCAUGGCUGUCGUCAGCUCGUGUUGUGAAAUGUUGGGUUAAGUCCCGCAACGAGCGCAAUCCUUAUCCUUUGUCGCCAGCGCGUGAUGGCGGGAACUCAAAGGAGACUGCCGGUGACAAACCGGAGGAAGGUGGGGAUGACGUCAAGUCAUCAUGGCCCUUACGGCCAGGGCUACACACGUGCUACAAUGGCGCAUACAAAGAGAAGCGACCUCGCGAGAGCAAGCGGACCUCAUAAAGUGCGUCGUAGUCCGGAUCGGAGUCUGCAACUCGACUCCGUGAAGUCGGAAUCGCUAGUAAUCGUAGAUCAGAACGCUACGGUGAAUACGUUCCCGGGCCUUGUACACACCGCCCGUCACACCAUGGGAGUGGGUUGCAAAAGAAGUAGGUAGCUUAACCUCCGGGAGGGCGCUUACCACUUUGUGAUUCAUGACUGGGGUGAAGUCGUAACAAGGUAACC
rnacentral:rRNA from 1 species